CUCCCAGCCCCGCCUCUUCUCUGUAAAAGAGCCUUCUCCUUCCUGGCUCUGCGGACUGACUUGCCUGCGGUCUUGCUUUGUCGGGGCUGCGGUUCUCUGCCAUUCCCGAGCAAACCCAUUAUUGCUGGAAGCAGGUGGCCACAGUGCACUUCCUGCCCUUGUUCUCCCUGUGAGGAUGAGGCAUUGACCCAAAAGCAGGACGUUCCUGAGGAUGGAGAUUGCUGAAUCCCGGCCCUCUGGUGACCGCCAGGUUUGCAGAAGCCGACGGACCCAAGGCUCAUCUGGAACCUCCCAGAAAGAGGGGGAUCACGGGCCCCCACCUGAGAGCUGUGGAGGGGUCUCGUUGUGGAGCCUGAGAUGAGCAGUGAAUGUGGCAGUGUCGGGGCCACGACCCGGCUCAUCCCACCGCAGAAGAUGCACCUGGAGAGACCUGAUCCCAGAAAUCCCGACUUCGGAAUGUUUGCAGAGGAGGAAGCGCCAAAUGCGCCAGCCACAGGCGGGGGGCCUUUCCUUCCAGACGGCACGCCGUCACAGAGUCACGGGCUCAAGUGAAGGAAACAGAGUCACAGAGUGAUGCCACAGGCUUGAGGGAAGGAAGCUUACCUCUUGGAAGAAGCCGUGCGAGCAGACCACAGCCUCUCGGCCCAGGGUGGGCCUGACAGUGAAUUUACGCUGCGGGGGGACGCGGCGGAUGUCACCUGGGGGUCGGGCUGCCCUGGCCUGUUCCCACCCACGCGACACCCUAGUAAUUUGCCUCCGGGGGAACCUGUCCGCAGAUGAACAUGGGGAAGAUCACAUAAUUGGAGAAUGAGUGUACUUACUGCUCACCUUGUCAUAAACUGUAGGCUCCAGGAGUCAGAUGUGAGUUUUUCUAGGUGUGUGACCCAUAACUGAGGAACAAGCCUACAGGUAAGGAAUCAGCGUUUCUUGGAAGCAUACUAAACCUGAUGGCCUCUUAUGUCUCCACCUUGCUCCGCGUCCAAGGCUUCACUGAGCCCCUUGUGCGUCACCACACCUGUGCUCCCGAACAGUGUGGCUCUGGACCUGGCUGCCCAGUAGAAUCGUCCAGGGGCACUUUUAAAAUACCAGCGUUGGGAGCGCCUGGGUGGCUCAGUCAGUUACACGUCCGACUUUAGCUCAGGUCAUGAUCUCAAGGUUCCUGAGUUCCAGCCCCACGUCAGGCUCUGUGCGGACAGCUCAGAGCCUGGAGCCUGCUUCAGAUUCUGUGUCUGCCUCUCCCCUGCUCACACUCUUUCUCUCUCUCUC